AACGAACGCUGGCGGCAUGCCUAACACAUGCAAGUCGAACGAGACCUUCGGGUCUAGUGGCGCACGGGUGCGUAACGCGUGGGAACCUGCCCUUAGGUUCGGAAUAACUCCCCGAAAGGGGUGCUAAUACCGGAUAAUGUCUUCGGACCAAAGAUUUAUCGCCUUUGGUUGGGCCCGCGUUGGAUUAGCUUGUUGGUAGGGUAAAAGCCUACCAAGGCGACGAUCCAUAGCUGGUCUGAGAGGAUGAUAAGCCACACUGGGACUGAGACACGGCCCAGACUACUACGGGAGGGAGGAGUGGGGAAUAGUGGAAAAUGGGGGAAAGGAUGAUACAGCAAUGACGGGUGAGUGAUGAAGGCGUUAGGGUUGUAAAGCUCUUUUAACCGGGAUGAUAAUGACAGUACCGGGAGAAUAAGCACCGGCUAACUCCGUG
rnacentral:rRNA from 1 species